AGUGAACGCUGGCGGUAGGCCUAACACAUGCAAGUCGAACGGCAGCACAGUAAGAGCUUGCUCUUACGGGUGGCGAGUGGCGGACGGGUGAGGAAUACAUCGGAAUCUACUUUUUCGUGGGGGAUAACGUAGGGAAACUUACGCUAAUACCGCAUACGACCUACGGGUGAAAGCAGGGGAUCGUCGCACCUUGCGCGAUUGAAUGAGCCGAUGUCGGAUUAGCUAGUUGGCGGGGUAAAGGCCCACCAAGGCGACGAUACGUAGCUGGUGUGAGAGGAUGAUCGGCGACACUGGAACGUAGACACGGUCCAGACUCCUACGGGAGGCAGCAGUGGGGAAUAUUGGACAAUGGGCGCAAGCCUGAUCCAGCCAUACCGCGUGGGUGAAGAAGGCCUUCGGGUUGUAAAGCCGUUUUGUUGGGAAAGAAAAGCAGCAGGUUAAUACCCCGCUGUUCUGACGGUAACCAAAGAAUAAGCACCGGCUAACUUCGUG
rnacentral:rRNA from 1 species